GCGCUGCCUGAUUGGCCGGUGGAAGAAGCGCCGCCUGAUUGGCCGGUGGAAGAAGCGCCGCCUGAUUGGCCGGUGGAAGAAGCGCUGCCUGAUUGGCCGGUGGAAGAAGCGCUGCCUGAUUGGCCGGUGAAACGUUGCUGCUCGCUCUUGUCAAGACAUCCUGAGGAGACGAGCGUAAGCAAUGAAUGAUCAAAUACCACCUUCAGGAGGAGCAGGGUGACGCUUACGUGUACGCCUCCACAGAUCGCUCCACCUGCCCUGAUGUGAAGUUUUGCUACAGAUUAUACUGCACCAUUUUUGAGAGGGCUUAUGGAGCAUCUUCUGGGGAUGGCAUGUUGCGCAACCUACAGGAACGUGUCGAUGCCGACAACA